CUUGUAUAAAAAACACUCACAGGUUACAAACAUCGACUCCAAUAGCAAGAAACAAGACCAAAAUUACAAGACCAAUGCCAAAAUCUCACCAAACCCGAUCCACAGUUCAAACAAGAACAAAUUGCACAUUUUUUAGGUUUUUUAUGCAAUAUGAUUUCAAAUCUUUUUUUCUUUUUUGAAUCUAUGAAUACAACUAAUUAUACAAG
rnacentral:misc_RNA from 1 species